UAUUCGUACUAUCUUCGUCUCUUUCAUGUGUGUAGAGCAAAAUACAUGUUUGCAGAGUAUGUAUACACUAACAUUACUCCAGUUUCUUUAUCUUUCUUUUUCAAUCAUACACUUUGUCUCUUUCUAAUCGCUCGGACACUACGUAUCAUUUCAAGCUUCUCGCAUAUUUACUUAUACGCUCACUUGAGUUUCUCUCUCUCUCUCUCUCUCUCUCUCUCUCUCUCUCUCUCGCUCUCUCUCUCUCUAAAACUUAGAGUACAAAUGCACCAAUUUAUAUUUUUGAUUAAUCACUAUAUAAGACUUUUUAAUAAUUAAACUUGAUAAAACGUCUACAAAAACAUUUAAAAUUGUGAAAAGUGUGUAUAGAGUUUGGUGUGUAUAAUUACUGCUUGUUACUCCACUGACACAAUAAAAAAGCAAUAAAUUUUAAUUGCAUACUAAUAUACUUCAAACCGGCUAUUAACGAUUCAAAAAGAAAAAAAAAAUAAGCGUACUUCUGAAAGUUGACAUUACAAGAUUCUAUAAUAGUCAAACAAAUUGCAGCACUUAUAUGAUGUACAGAAAAUCUCCUUGCAGAAGUCUCCUUUUUUCCGAACUGAUUGUGUAAAUAUUAAAUUGAUCAAUAAAAUAAAUAAGAAGAAUGUAAUAAGAUAAGCAUAGCCACAAACAACUGCUAUUUUCAUGUUCGAUUAUAAAGAUGUGUUUUUCUUCUUUCUUGAAUAUACGUAUACAUUUAUAUAUUAUACAUAUAAGAUAUAUAAUACACAACUCAAUAAUUAGGGCAAAUAUUAAUUCUAUUUUGUAUAAUUAAUUUGUUUUCUAUGUGGCGCUGAUAAGAUGCGUUGAUGGACGUUAAAGUAAACUCAUCAAAAAUCAGCCAAUUUCUCGAAACAAUGACAAGACUCAAGUUUAUUAUUACAAACAGAGCAAAAAAUAUAUCUUUAUAUCCUGACUUUAUAUUUAACUUAACUUCUGCUGGAAAAAGAUGUCUUCGGGAUGUAAACUUCAUACACAAUUUUAUAGAUGAGGUAUGUAAUAUAUAUGCAAAUAUUAAUCACCUAGCUUGCGUAGUACUUUUUAUAUUUACACAAUUUAUUAUUACAGAUAAUAAAAGCUAAUAAAACACGUAAACUUAUUGUUCAAAGUAGAGGUGAGUUUAGUAAUUUAUUUGCUUGUUUGUUUCUUUAUGUUAUUAUGAUCCCUAAAAAAAUUACCUUUUU